AUGAACGCUAGCGGCAGGCUUAACACAUGCAAGUCGAGGGGCAGCGAGAGAGUAGCAAUACUUUUGUCGGCGACCGGCGGACGGGUGCGUAACGCGUAUGCAACCUACCUUAGUACAGGGGGAUAACCUUUCGAAAGGGAGACUAAUACCGCAUAACAUUACGUUUGAGGCAUCUUGAGGUAAUUAAAUCUUCGGAGGUAUAAGAUGGGCAUGCGUAGCAUUAGCUAGAUGGUGCGGUAACGGCGUACCAUGGCGACGAUGCUUAGGGGUUCUGAGAGGAAGGUCCCCCACACUGGUACUGAGAUACGGACCAGACUCCUACGGGAGGCAGCAGUGAGGAAUAUUGGUCAAUGGUCGGAAGACUGAACCAGCCAUGCCGCGUGCAGGAAGAAUGUCUUAUGGAUUGUAAACUGCUUUUGUAUGGGGCUAAUAAUAACUUUGCGAAGUUAGAUGCAGGUACCAUACGAAUAAGGAUCGGCUAACUCCGUG
rnacentral:rRNA from 1 species